rnacentral:rRNA from 1 species
GCAUAACGCGAAGAACCUUACCUAGGCUUGACAUGCAUCUCUAAGCACGUGAAAGCGUGUGACCCUUCGGGGAACUUGCACAGGUGCUGCAUGGCCGUCGUCAGCUCGUGUCGUGAGAUGUUGGGUUAAGUCCCGCAACGAGCGCAACCCUUGUGACUAGUUGCCAGCACGUUAUGGUGGGAACUCUAGUCAGACUGCCCAGAUCAACUGGGAGGAAGGUGGGGAUGACGUCAAGUCCGUAUGGCCCUUACGCCUAGGGCUGCACACGUACUACAAUGCCCAGUACAAUGUGAACCGAGACCGCGAGGUGGAGGAAAUCAAUAAAACUGGGCCCAGUUCAGAUUGUAGGCUGCAACUCGCCUACAUGAAGUCGGAAUCGCUAGUAAUGGCGCAUCAGCAACGGCGCCGUGAAUACGUUCCCGGGUCUUGUACACACCG